rnacentral:pre_miRNA from 1 species
GUCACCUGGGAAUCUUGUUUAAAUGCAGAUUCUGACUCAGAUGUGUAGCAGGGCCAAAGAUUUUGCCUUUCCAACAAGCUCCCAAGUGAUGCUGC